rnacentral:rRNA from 1 species
UCCUGGCUCAGGAUGAACGACGUAGCCUACAGGCUUAACACAUGCAAGUCGAGGGGCAGCAUUGGGAUAGCUUGCUAUUCAGAUGGCGACCGGCGCACGGGUGAGUAACGCGUAUCCAACCUUCCUGCCAGUAGGGAACAGCCCGGCGAAAGUCGGAUUAAUGCCCUAUGUUCUUCAAUGCGGACAUCUAAGUUGAAGGAAAGAUUCAUCGCUGGCAGAUGGGGAUGCGUCCGAUUAGCUUGCCGGCGGGUAACGGCCCACCGGGGCGACGAUCGGUAGGGGUUCUGAGAGGAAGGUCCCCCACACUGGUACUGAGACACGGACCAGACUCCUACGGGAGGCAGCAGUGAGGAAUAUUGGUCAAUGGGCGUAAGCCUGAACCAGCCAAGUAGCGUGCAGGAAUGACGGCCCUACGGGUUGUAAACUGCUUUUAUGCGGGGAUAAAGUGCGGCACGUGUGCCGCUUUGCAGGUACCGCAUGAAUAAGGACCGGCUAAUUCCGUGCCAGCCGCAGC